rnacentral:rRNA from 1 species
CCUACGGGGGGCAGCAGUGAGGAAUAUUGGUCAAUGGGCGCGAGCCUGAACCAGCCAAGUAGCGUGAAGGAUGACUGCCCUACGGGCUGUAAACUUCUUUUAUAAAGGAAUAAAGUGAGGCACGUGUCCCGUUUUGUAUGUACCUUAUGAAUAAGGAUCGGCUAACUCCGUGCCAGCAGCCGCGGUAAUACGGAGGAUCCGAGCGUUAUCCGGAUUUAUUGGGUUUAAAGGGUGCGUAGGCGGCCUUUUAAGUCAGCGGUGAAAGUCUGUGGCUCAACCAUAGAAUUGCCGUUGAAACUGGGAGGCUUGAGUAUGUUUGAGGCAGGCGGAAUGCGUGGUGUAGCGGUGAAAUGCUUAGAUAUCACGAAGAACUCCGAUUGCGAAGGCAGCUUACUAAACUGCCACUGACAUUGAUGCUCGAAAGUGUGGGUAUCAAACAGGAUUAGAUACCCCUGUAGUC